UUUUGAACAAGCUUUAAUCAUAUAAUUUUUAAGGGUCUGCUAUUCAUUUACAUCAGUUGCUUAGAGGUAUUCAGAAGCUUUGGAAGGACUAGGACAGGGUCUACUAUUGAUUUUGUUUUGAUUCUAUCCCUUUCCCCGAAAGGGCCAUGUCAUUGGCAUUUGAUAUCCUCAAUGACCUUGUGGAGGUGUGGGAUGCAACUGCAUCUGAUCCUAAAUUGCUAGUCUUUUUGAAAUCGUACAGGAAUUUCUUACACACUGAAUCUGGUAAUUAGAUCUACCUAGCUUUUCUAAUUCUACUCUGGUUUAGAUUAAUUUGUAGUUCAUGAAUUAUGAGAUUCUGAGUGCAUAACAUGUUCACGAAGUCAUCGAAAUGUAGUGUAUAGAAUUAAAAAUGCAGAAUAAUA